CCUACGGGUGGCAGCAGUGGGGAAUAUUGGGCAAUGGGCGCAAGCCUUACCCAGCAAUACCGCGUGAGUGAAGAAGGUCUUCGGAUUGUAAAGCUCUUUGAUCAGGGACGAACAGAUGACGGUACCUGAAGAACAAGCCCCGGCUAACUACGUGCCAGCAGCCGCGGUAAAACGUAGGGGGCGAGCGUUGACCGGAAUGACUGGGCGUAAAGGGUGCGUAGGCGGCAUAGUAAGUUAGAAGGGGAAUACCCAGGGCUUAACUUGGGUGCUGCUUCUAAGACUGUUGGGCUUGAGAGCAGGUGAGGUUGAUGGAAUGCCUGGUGUAGCGGUGGAAUGCGUAGAUAUUAGAAGGAACACCGGAGGCGAAGGCAGUUAACUAAACCAUAACUGACGCUGAGGCACGAAAGUGUGGGGAGCAAACAGGAUUAGAUACCCUAGUAGUC
rnacentral:rRNA from 1 species